UCAGUGAGGCCUUGGGACUGGCUCAGGAGGGUUGGCAACGACCCCCCAGAGCCGGAAACUUGGUCAAACUCGGUCAUUUAGAGGAAGUAAAAGUCGUAACAAGGUUUCCGUAGGUGAACCUGCGGAAGGAUCAUUA
rnacentral:rRNA from 5 species